rnacentral:rRNA from 1 species
AACGAACGCUGGCGGCAUGCCUAACACAUGCAAGUCGAACGAGACCUUCGGGUCUAGUGGCGCACGGGUGCGUAACGCGUGGGAACCUGCCCUUAGGUUCGGAAUAACUCCCCGAAAGGGGUGCUAAUACCGGAUAAUGUCUUCGGACCAAAGAUUUAUCGCCUUUGGAUGGGCCCGCGUUGGAUUAGCUAGUUGGUAGGGUAAAAGCCUACCAAGGCGACGAUCCAUAGCUGGUCUGAGAGGAUGAUCAGCCACACGGGGACUGAGACACGGCCCAGACUCCUACUGGAGGCAGCAGUGGGGAAUAUUGGACAAUGGGCGAAAGCCUGAUCCAGCAAUGCCGCGUGAGUGAUGAAGGCCUUAGGGUUGUAAAGCUCUUUUACCCGGGAUGAUAAUGAGAGUACCGGGAGAAUAAGCUCCGGCUAACUCCGUG